rnacentral:misc_RNA from 1 species
UCGAUUUAGUGAUGCCGUUUUUUCUUGAAACCUAUAAGAAAAUACAAAUUGUAUUGUAAAUAAAAUACUUCAGUACGACAUAAGCAUAUUUACUAAAUUUAAAUUUUUAUAUUAAUUUUAAAUUUAAAUAACUAAAUUGAAAUAUUUACUCUUUUUAGCUUUGCUUUUUUUCUGAGCUUUUCUCUUUUUAGCAGAUACAGAAGAUGAUUCCCCGAAAGUUGUAAUUUCUUCUCCAAGUGUACCAAGAGUUGUUAUUUGGCGACGUCUGUGUUUUUCUUGUUUAGUAACAGCACCUGAUACUGCACGCCUACGAGCUCUUUCUCCUGAU